AAUAUUUGAAAAAGGAAAAAGAGAGGCGGGUUGUUAGGCUGGCGAGACGUGGACUAUGUAGAUCUAGUUGGUAACCAAAAACACCAUGUUGGAGGGAGGGCCUGAACCAGCCGGGACCGCUACCAGCCCUGUCGCACGCUAAAUGUUUUUGGAGUAACAAAAUAUGAAUCCACUGCACGCUACUAGCCUACGGAGGUAGUGCGAUGUUUACUUUUGUAAAACAGCAGUAUAAAACUACUACGGUGUCAUCAACUAUUUCAAUUCUCGUCCAAAUUCGGAAUUUCUGUUUGUAAACAAUUCUAAAGAGAAAACUAUUUUAAAAACUAAAAGGAAGGAAUGGAUGAACGGCCCCCACUUUCCAACACAGUGAUCACACGACAUGACAUAAAAGGGAGAGCAGUCACAAGCCAGAGUAUAAUCGGUGCUAAUGGACACUGGCACAAAGUACGUCCCUCCAACCAUUGAGAGCGUCACAAUCAAGGGAGUGUAUCACUCGCGCAACAUUUAUCCCCCCUAUCAAACCGAUUCUAUUCCCCUAGGUGGAGAUGAUUGGCAAUCGCAGAUGUGGUGUAGACGGGUGGGAACAACCAUCAUUCUAUCGUUAUCUGAUGUAUCCAACAGCCAACUCUGAUGACGGCAGCGAGAUGUGUGCAGAUAUGUGGCAGGGAGGGAGAAAGAAGAGAAAAAAACUCCACCAUACAGGAUUGUACAUUAAGAUGAAAACGAUAUUAUGUGGGUAGAUCGUAGCGCGGAGAAGACGUCUGUAAGGAAUCUACAGUGUUGCCGGGUGUCAGCAGACGUUUCCGGCUGAACAAACACUGUCAGCUGGGCGCCUGUGGCUGGGGGGAGGCGUGCGCUGAGGUAAUUAGAGAGAACAGCCACGCUUUAACGCUGCUGUGAUACUCGGGGUAAACUCAAACAAACGCCUUAUCAACUUUAAAUUUUUUCCCCCUUCCAGCUAGAUGUUUCGACUAGCCUUUGAUUUACACAGACAGGCCACUCGCUACUUCCAAGCCAAUAACCAGUUUUCAAAGCAGAAACACUGCAAGGCCUGCAGUUUGCUGUGUGAUGUAGUAGACCCAGCCCUGUUGAUUACAUUCGCAAAACCCCGGGAGCUGAAGUAGGACCGAUACUGUGGUCUACUCCAGAUAUCAAUCAAUUUCACGGUCCGUGUGUGCACGGCAGAAUAUCUGGGACGAAUUAAAAUUGCUAGGAAGGGAUCGUUGGAGUAUUUUCAUACAACAGAAGGGAUCGCUCAAGUAUUUUCAUAGCACAGACCUACACAAAAAAAUCGACGAGGUUAGAGUCAUCAUUACUUGUUUGGAUUACCUCUCCGCAAUUCAAAUUAUUUCAACGGAUAUUCGGAUUACAUCAUUCGCCAUUCGGAUUAUUUACAGUAGAUACGAGGGUUGUAUCACGUGAUCGCUGCUUGUCACUCAAUCUACGGGUCCAGAUCGGUACACAUCAUUUAGAGAACAACUCCCUGGGAUUUGGGAUCAAAGGGCAAAGUAAGGAAAAAAACUUGGUGGUAUUGGACCUCCAGCCAUACCAUCUUGUGGAGGCAUUUGACCCAAUGGACUAGGAGCGGCUGCGUUCUAAAAUGAAAGUAACAUACAAA